rnacentral:rRNA from 1 species
CCUACGGGGAGCAGCAGUGAGGAAUAUUGGUCAAUGGCCGGAAGGCUGAACCAGCCAUGCCGCGUGAAGGUCAGUGCCCUAUGGGCGUUAAACUUCUUUUGUCCGGGAGCAAUAAUGGCCACGUGUGGCCAGACGAGAGUACCGUACGAUGCAGCAUCGGCACACUCCGUGCCCGCAGCCGCGGUCACACGGGGGCUGCAAGCGUUAUCCGGAUUUAUUGGGUUUAAAGGGUGCGUAGGCUGGGAGGUAAGUCAGCGGGGAAAUGCCCCGGCUCAACGGGGUGAAGUGCCAUUGAUACUGGCUUGCUGGAAUGCGGAAGCGGUGGGAGGAAUGUGAGGUGUAGCGGUGAAAUGCAUAGAUAUC